rnacentral:lncRNA from 1 species
CACACACAAAAGAGUUCAUAAUUCAUGUAAACUAGAAGUUUGAAGAAUAUUACAACUGAUAAUCAUCACUUCACAAAGGUUCGGAUAUUAGUUGGUUCGCAUUUCAUUGCAACAACCAAUCAUACAAGUUUUCUGAGUGCCGACAUAAAACCAAUCAUUACAACCGGCAUUGAUGCAUCAUUGUUCAAGUUUGUUCACUACAAGGAGUUGUAAAUUAUCAAGUUGUGAUGUCUGAAGCAGAGACACUUUUGAAUAAGAUGAACUGCAAGGCGGCAAUCACUAGUCCUACUCACGUCUUUUCUCCACUCCGCAUCGACAUCAGGUACCAUAGCUCGAUGCUAGAUGAACUACGGAAAAAAUAAGGAAGUUAGCAUCAUGUAUCCAACUGAGAAUUGUAACAAUUACAUGACUUGCUGAUCAAAAGGAUAAUGAACAGCAUGACUUGCUGAUAAAAAGGAUAAUUGGAUUUCUAAUAAUGAAGAGAAAGACUUGUUGAUAAAAAGGAUAAUUGGAUUUCUAAUAAUGAACAGCAUGACUUGCUGAUCAAAAGGAUAAUUGGAUUUCUAAUAAUGAAUAGCACGACUUUCUGAUAAAAAGGAUAAUUGGAUUUCUAAUAAUGAACAACAUGACUUGCUGAUAAAAAGGAUAAGAACCACAAAACUAACUGCUAUUUCUGGUUACUGUGACAUAAAUUUCAGUAAUAAUUACUAAAUAACUAACGACAAAGAUGGUAAGCAGUAGAUCACCAAACCAUUAUCAAGCUUCACGGCAGUACAUAAUUCCAAAAUUAGUAAAAACUGGGGAUAAAAAAUGUAUAAUGGGAAAAGUAAGGACAAAACCAACAUGGAUUUCUGAGUGCAGAAAGUAAAGGCCUCUAUUCCAAAAAAGAGGCAAGGCAGCCUAACAACCAGUUCACAAAAAAAUGUAUUCUCCGGCAAUGUCAUAAGUGUAAAUGAAUGCAGCCUACCAAAUUACUAAUAAAUAUGUGGCACAUGCCCACACUCCACUGCUGUUACAAGUUACUUCCCUGAUGAGUAAGUUUGUAAAUAGGUAGUUCACCACACUUAUUUAAGUACACACUACCAUCUGUCCAGGGGCGUGAUAAAAUUAUUUCUGUUCACAAGGCAAUGAUAAGGCAGGACAUAAACAUCACCAACCACAUCUCUUGUUGACUAGUCGAUCAAUUUAUACCAACAAUCUUGUGAUUGUAUACCAAAUUAAGAAGGCAUCAACGAUGAAUGUUCACAUACCUUUCUUGGUUCAGGUGAAAUCUUCUCAAUGACCAACAAACCGAAAGGCACACAGCCACUGAACACGGUGCCGCCACCUAGCUGAUAAAUAUAUGGGCUAAUGUGUACUGAAAUGCAAAUUCUAGGCAAUUAUAUACAGAGCACUAUAAGAAAUUAAUCUUUCUGAAAUGCUAGCUGUGGAGCGCUUUGUGUGCAUGUAAGUGAAAGGCAUGAUUAUAGUAGUCAUUGUGAUACAACCAUGCAUCACAACCGUGCAUUAUGAUACUAUAUACUAUCUGAUAAUUGUCUGUCCAUACAUGCUCCUAUGAAUUGAUCUGACACUAGCUCUUCAAUAUCUUUGCCUACUACUCCCUCCGUCCCAAAAUUCUUGUCUUAGAUUUGUCUAAAUACGGAUGUAUCAAGUCUCGUUUUAGUAUUAGAUACAUCUGUAUCUAGAUGAAUCUAAGACAAGAAUUUUGAGACGGAGGGAGUACUAGUCUAUUAAUUGUUAUUUGAUUAGAUGGCAGCUGCUGAACCGAUCAACUGUCACUCCAAUCAUCUCUGAAACAAGUAUACACUGACACUAACACUGCUUGUGCAUUGCGGCCAUUGUAUGAAAAUCAGUUGCCUUAACUAUAGUACAGUCAAUUCCCUCCGACUAUUGCACUUUUUUACUUUGCAACACAGGAAUGUAUGAGAUGGAUUCCUGUUAAGCAAAGUAAUUUUGCCUCCGGCUUCUGGAAUUAGUUAAAAGAAGCCGGUUCUCAAGUUAUUGGAUAGACCAGCAAGUUCAAGCAUCAGUGCAUGGAGAUGUGGAAGAGGAGGGGGGCUAGCCUUAGGUCGAAGUCCGCGGAACCGUCGCCGUCGCCGGAGGGGACAGGAGCUUCAAGGCGGAGGGGAGAUCCGGGGAAGGAGCAGCGUAAGGACGACGGACAUCGCGGUCGUUGGAGGGGCGGAGCGUGGUGGCGGAGCAUCGGAGGGAGAGGGGCCGGGCCGUCUCUCCAAUCGCCGGCGGAGAAGCUCGGAGGCAAAG